ACGCAUGGUAGAGGAGCGUUCUGUAAGCCUGCGAAGGUGUGCUGUAAGGCAUGCUGGAGGUAUCAGAAGUGCGAAUGCUGACAUGAGUAACGAUAAAGGGGGUGAGAGGCCCCCUCGCCGAAAACCCAAGGUUUCCUGCGCAACGCUAAUCGGCGCAGGGUUAGUCGGCCCCUAAGGCGAGGCAGAAAUGCGUAGUCGAUGGGAAUCCGGUUAAUAUUCCGGAACUACUUAUUACUGCGAUGGGGUGACGGAGUAGGCUAGGUCAUCCGGGUGUUGGUUUCCCGGUUUAAGCGUGUAGGGAGUCUGUUUAGGCAAAUCCGGACAGGCAAUCCUGAGACGUGAUGACGAGUCUCCAUGUGAGACGAAGUGAUUGAUGCCAUGCUUCCAGGAAAAACCUCUAAGCUUCAGGUAAUAAGUAACCGUACUCUAAACCGACACAGGUGGGUAGGGUGAGAAUCCCAAGGCGCUUGAGAGAACUCUGGUGAAGGAACUAGGCAAAAUAGUACCGUAACUUCGGGAGAAGGUACGCCCUUGGUAUGUGAAGAGACUUGCUCUCGGAGCAGAAGAGGGUUGCAGUGACCAGGUGGCUGCGACUGUUUAUUAAAAACAUAGCACUCUGCAAACUCGAAAGAGGAAGUAUAGGGUGUGACGCCUGCCCGGUGCCGGAAGGUUAAUUGAUGGGGUUAGUCCUCGGACGAAGCUCUUGAUCGAAGCCCCGGUAAACGGCGGCCGUAACUAUAACGGUCCUAAGGUAGCGAAAUUCCUUGUCGGGUAAGUUCCGACCUGCACGAAUGGCGUAACGAUGGCCACGCUGUCUCCACCAGAGACUCAGUGAAAUUGAAAUCGCUGUUAAGAUGCAGUGUACCCGCGGCUAGACGGAAAGACCCCGUGAACCUUUACUACAGCUUUGCACUGGACUUUGAAUAUAUUUGUGUAGGAUAGGUGGGAGGCUUUGAAGCGGAGACGCCAGUCUUCGUGGAGCCAACCUUGAAAUACCACCCUGAUAUAUUUGGAGUUCUAACCUCGACCCGUUAUCCGGGUUAGGGACAGUGUAUGGUGGGUAGUUUGACUGGGGCGGUCUCCUCCCAAAGAGUAACGGAGGAGCACGAAGGUACCCUCAGCGCGGUCGGACAUCGCGCAACGAGUGCAAAGGCAUAAGGGUGCUUGACUGCGAGACAGACAAGUCGAGCAGGUACGAAAGUAGGUCUUAGUGAUCCGGUGGUUCUGUAUGGAAGGGCCAUCGCUCAACGGAUAAAAGGUACUCCGGGGAUAACAGGCUGAUACCGCCCAAGAGUUCAUAUCGACGGCGGUGUUUGGCACCUCGAUGUCGGCUCAUCACAUCCUGGGGCUGAAGUCGGUCCCAAGGGUAUGGCUGUUCGCCAUUUAAAGUGGUACGCGAGCUGGGUUUAGAACGUCGUGAGACAGUUCGGUCCCUAUCUGCCGUGGGCGUCUGAGAUUUGAGGGAAGCUGCUCCUAGUACGAGAGGACCGGAGUGGACGUAUCUCUGGUGUUCCGGUUGUCACGCCAGUGGCACUGCCGGGUAGCUAAAUACGGACAGGAUAACCGCUGAAAGCAUCUAAGCGGGAAGCCCCUCCCAAGAUAAGAUCUCACUUGUCUCUUGAAGACACUGAAGGGCCGUUGAAGACUACAACGUUGAUAGGCUGGGUGUGGAAGUGCAGUAAUGCAUGAAGCUAACCAGUACUAAUUGCCCGUGAGGCUUGACCAUAUAACACCCAA
rnacentral:rRNA from 1 species